rnacentral:rRNA from 1 species
AUAUUGCACAAUGGGGGAAACCCUGAUGCAGCGACGCCGCGUGGAGGAAGAAGGUCUUCGGAUUGUAAACUCCUGUUGUUGGGGAAGAUAAUGACGGUACCCAACAAGGAAGUGACGGCUAACUACGUGCCAGCAGCCGCGGUAAAACGUAGGUCACAAGCGUUGUCCGGAAUUACUGGGUGUAAAGGGAGCGCAGGCGGGAAGACAAGUUGGAAGUGAAAUCUAUGGGCUCAACCCAUAAACUGCUUUCAAAACUGUUUUUCUUGAGUAGUGCAGAGGUAGGCGGAAUUCCCGGUGUAGCGGUGGAAUGCGUAGAUAUCGGGAGGAACACCAGUGGCGAAGGCGGCCUACUGGGCACCAACUGACGCUGAGGCUCGAAAGUGUGGGUAGCAAACAGGAUUAGAUACCCUGGUAGUCCACACCGUAAACGAUGAUUACUAGGUGUUGGAGGAUUGACCCCUUCAGUGCCGCAGUUAACACAAUAAGUAAUCCACCUGGGGAGUACGACCGCAAGGUUGAAACUCAAAGGAAUUGACGGGGGCCCGCACAAGCAGUGGAGUAUGUGGUUUAAUUCGACGCAACGCGAAGAACCUUACCAAGUCUUGACAUCCCUUGACAGGCAUAGAAAUAUGUUUUCUCUUCGGAGCAAGGAGACAGGUGGUGCAUGGUUGUCGUCAGCUCGUGUCGUGAGAUGUUGGGUUAAGUCCCGCAACGAGCGCAACCCUUAUGGUCAGUUACUACGCAAGAGGACUCUGGCCAGACUGCCGUUGACAAAACGGAGGAAGGUGGGGAUGACGUCAAAUCAUCAUGCCCUUUAUGACUUGGGCUACACACGUACUACAAUGGCGUUAAACAAAGAGAAGCAAGACCGCGAGGUGGAGCAAAACUCAGAAACAACGUCCCAGUUCGGACUGCAGGCUGCAACUCGCCUGCACGAAGUCGGAAUUGCUAGUAAUCGUGGAUCAGCAUGCCACGGUGAAUACGUUCCCGGGCCUUGUACACACCGCCCGUCACAC